rnacentral:rRNA from 1 species
CUGGAUUCGCUAGUAAUCGCGCAUCAGCCACGGCGCGGUGAAUACGUUCCCGGGCCUUGUACACACCGCCCGUCAAGCCAUGGAAGCCGGGAGUGCCUGAAGUGCGUGAGCGCAAGCAGCGCCCUAAGGUAAAACCGGUGACUGGGGCUAAGUCGUAACAAGGUAAC